rnacentral:rRNA from 1 species
GACGAACGCUGGCGGCGUGCUUAACACAUGCAAGUCGAACGGAAAGGCCCUGCUUUUGUGGGGUGCUCGAGUGGCGAACGGGUGAGUAACACGUGAGUAACCUGCCCUUGACUUUGGGAUAACUUCAGGAAACUGGGUCUAAUACCGGAUAGGAGCUCCUGCUGCAUGGUGGGGGUUGGAAAGUUUCGGCGGUUGUGGAUGGACUCGCGGCUUAUCAGCUUGUUGGUGGGGUAGUGGCUUACCAAGGCUUUGACGGGUAGCCGGCCUGAGAGGGUGACCGGCCACAUUGGGACUGAGAUACGGACCAGAAUCCUACGGGAGGCAGCAGUGGGGAAUAUUGCACAAUGGGCGGAAGCCUGAUGCAGCGACGCCGCGUGCGUGAUGACGGCCUUCGGGUUGUAAACCGCUUUCGCCGGUGACGAAGCGUGAGUGACGGUAAUGGGUAAAGAAGCACCGGCUAACUACGUG